rnacentral:rRNA from 1 species
GUGGCGAGCGAACGCGGAGCAGGCCAGUGGUCAGUCAUAUGUAAGCAGAACGGUCUGGAAAGUCCGGCCAUAGCGGGUGAUAGCCCCGUAUGCGUCCAGUGUGAUUGAUCCUUGAGUAAGGCGGGACACGUGAAAUCCUGUCUGAACAUGGGGGGACCACCCUCCAAGCCUAAAAUACUCCCUGGUGACCGAUAGCGAACAAGUACCGUGAGGGAAAGGUGAAAAGCACCCCGAUGAGGGGAGUGAAAAGAGACCUGAAAACCGGAUGCCUACAAGCAGUCGGAGCCUCUUAUGGGGUGACGGCGUACCUUUUGUAUAAUGGGUCAGCGAGUUUCUGUUGGCAGCGAGCUUAAGCCGUUAGGUGUAGGCGCAGCGAAAGCGAGUCUGAAUAGGGCGCAUAGUUGCCGGCAGAAGACCCGAAACCGAGUGAUCUAGCCAUGGCCAGGCUGAAGGUGGGGUAACACCCACUGGAGGGCCGAACCCACGCCUGUUGAAAAAGUCGGGGAUGAGCUGUGGCUAGGGGUGAAAGGCC